rfam:Felis catus isolate Cinnamon breed Abyssinian chromosome A2, whole genome shotgun sequence.
GCCUGGGUGGCUCAGUCGGUUGAGCGUCCGACUUCGGCUCAGGUCAUGAUCUCGCGGUCGUGGGUUCGAGCCCCGCGUCGGGCU